GACAGAGGUGCCGAGCGUUAGGCGGAAUCACUGGGCUUAAAGCGUGUGUAGGCGGGCCGUUAAGUAUCUUGUGAAAUCCCCCGGCUCAACCGGGGAAUGGCUGGAUAUACUGGCGGUCUUGAGCGAUCUAGGGGCAGAUGGAACAAGUGGUGGAGCGGUGAAAUGCGUAGAUGUCACUUGGAACGCCAAAGGUGAAAACAGUCUGCUGGGGAUCUGCUGACGCUGAGACACGAAAGCCAGGGGAGCGAACGGG
rnacentral:rRNA from 1 species